AUUGAACGCUGGCGGCAUGAUUUACACAUGCAAGUCGAACGGUAACAGGCCGCAAGGUGCUGACGAGUGGCGAACGGGUGAGUAAUGCAUCGGAACGUGCCCAGUCGUGGGGGAUAACUACUCGAAAGAGUAGCUAAUACCACAUACGAUCUAUGGAUGAAAGCGGGGGACCGUAAGGCCUCGCGCGAUUGGAGCGGCCGAUGUCAGAUUAGGUAGUUGGUGGGGUAAAGGCUCACCAAGCCAACGAUCUGUAGCUGGUCUGAGAGGACGACCAGCCACACUGGGACUGAGACACGGCCCAGACUCCUACGGGAGGCAGCAGUGGGGAAUUUUGGACAAUGGGCGCAAGCCUGAUCCAGCAAUGCCGCGUGCAGGAAGAAGGCCUUCGGGUUGUAAACUGCUUUUGUACGGAACGAAACGGCUCUGGUUAAUACCCGGGGCUAAUGACGGUACCGUAAGAAUAAGCACCGGCUAACUACGUG
rnacentral:rRNA from 1 species